UUAGUAAAUGUUGACAUUCUACUAGUGUACUUGUGGACAUCAUGCUAUUUAUAUAUAUGCUCAUUCAUAUUAGAAUAGCACUCAUACUUGUGAAAAAUUCAUGCUAAGUAGAGGCAUAGUAGUUUAGUAAGUUUUAUUCAUACUUAAUAUACAUAUUGUUCAUUUCUUUAAAUGUUAGUUCUUACUACUUAUGCCUCCAUAACCUAGUGGUGUAUUUCGCUGAUAUCGGCAGCUUACCCACUAGGAACAAUUGAAUAAUAGUUCUCACACCCUCUAUUUUGUUGAUUUUGUUUACAGAGCCUUCCACUCCGGGAGAGGUUAGGGACUACGGCAAGGGUUUUGCCUUUAGCUAGUUGCGAGAAGCUUUGCUAUUAGGUGGUUUAUCUUUUCUUUUUGUAUUAUUUGGAGAGAGUGGAAGCUUUUGUACCUAUGGGUAGAGACCACCAUUUUUGUAUAUCUAGCUCUUGUAUUUGGAAUUUAUGAUGUAUUACUUUAUGGUUUACGUUAGUGAAUUAGUUCUUUUAUAUAUCUCCACUUGUUAUUAGAAAUUAGUUGCUGUAUGUUCUGAUAUCCCUAGACGCUUGUUUAUUGUUGCUUUAUUUAUCGUUUUGUUGUAAAUGUCUUAUAUGUUGUAGGCAUAUGGCGGGUCUGGACACGCACCGGGCGGGAUUCCGUUGGGUCCCGGGGCAUAACAGCUAUAGUAAGUAGUUUUUAUUUUACUCUGAUAUCUACUAUUGUUAGAUGUUUAAUUAAUUUUUUGAACUGAUUUGUUGACGUUUCGUAUGUAUAAACUGUAUCCUUAUGCAUGCGAUGGAUCUAUUGACGUAACUCGAAUUUUCAAUGUAAUCCGGGGCGUGGCACUUUAACUUCAAAUUUUAAGCUAAUUACUUAUUUAAACGAAUUUAUAGUUGCGAUAAUUAUGAAUUAUUAUAUAAAUAAAUAAAUCUGUAAAGAUAAAUAACACCCAAAUUUUGAAUAUUUCAAGGUAUCAAUGGACGACUCGAAUCAACAAAAUUAAAAAAUUAAAUAAUUAAAUUAAAGUUUUGAAAAUUGACUAGUCAUCAAAAUAAUCUAUAAUUAGAAUAAGCUCCAUACGUUUUUACCUCAAUAAUAUGAGUCCGACUAUGAUACUUCAGAAAGCUCUAUACUUAGGGCUUAUUUGGUUUACAUAUUUUAGACUAUAAUACUUCCAAAGGUACUUAGGGUUUAUUUGGUUAACAUAUUUUAGACUAUGGAAUCAGAAUCGCAUCCAUUGAUUCUGAUAGUUAUUACUUGUUUUACAGAAAUUAGAUUUCGAUGUUCAUUCAACGUCGUAAUGAAAAUAACCAAAUUCAUUUAUAGCUUAAUCCGACUUUAAAUCCAACAGUUACCCAUUUCAAUAUAAACCAUUUAAACUUUCCUGACAAACCUCCUCCCUCCUAUUUCUUUGUCACUCUCCUUUUUAUUAACCAAAAAGUUCUAUCAAAACUCUUACUAUUCAUUCUAAUUUUUAUUUAAUAAGAAUCAAAUAUUUUUGUUUGAUUCGUGAUUUUAUUUUUCAUUCCAAUUUCAUUCAAUUUUAUUUUUUAUUUUCUUUUGUAAAUCAAAUAUGCCCUUAUAAUAAGGAAAGCUUUUCAAAAUUGUUUAAACUUUCUAAAAUACAAAGGCAAACGCCGGGAACAACAUCAGCAGUAUUGUCAACCACCAUUCACAUGUGCCUCCUCCUCCUCCGCCUCCGCCUCCGCCGCCGCCAACGACGCCAACGCACCGCACACCGCCGCGCACUCCCCCACCCUCCCGUCCGUCAUCUCCACCACCCUCUCCACGUCCUCUCCGCGCCCCUCCGCCUCCAUGCAGUAGCCCCCCGCCGCCCCGCUCGCCCCCAUCGCCGCCGCCACCUCCACCACCGCGCGCAGCGCCGCGCCGUGCGCGCGCCAGGAGCCGCGGACGAGGAUCCCGAAGGCGAGCGGGAGCAGCGCGUCGCCGGCGAGGAGCUCACCGCAGCCCCCGGCGCCGGCGGCGCGGGAGUGGAGCGCGGAGCGCGCGACGGCGAUGGCGCGCGCGGCGUCGGCGGCGAGGGCGCCGUCUCCGCCGCCGAGGAGCGCGCACGCGGCGGCGCAGAGGUGGGGGGCGAUGGUGGCGGGCGCGGCGGCGAUGGUGCGGCCCAUGGGCGCCGCCAGGGCCCCGGGCGCGGCGGCGGGGACGUGGGCGCGGAGGUCGUCGUCGUCGUCCGCACCGGAGGAGGAGUAUGCGGACGCGGACGCGGACGCAGAGGCGAAGUGUAGGGUGAAGCGGCGGCGGGGGCCGCACGAGGAGGAGUAUGCGGACGCGCGGAGUAUGGACCGGGUGGAGAGGGGGAAUUUGUGGUUGGUGAGAUAUACGCCCGGGCCGGAGAUGAACGGAAGAGUUGAGGCCAUUUUCCCUCUCUCUCUCUCUCUCUCUCUGUCUCUCUGUCUCUCUCUCUCUCUUGCGAAAAAUUUGUCAAGGAAAUGAAUUAGGGAGAUGCGUUCUUAUAGCACGGAAGCGUCCGUACGGACUUUUUUUUUUAAGGAAAAACUUCAAAUACUCCCUGUAGUUUCGUACGUUUUCACUUUAGUAUCCUGUGAUUUAAAAUAGAGUUGAGCUUGAAUACUAUCGGUUGUAAACGAACCGUUUUACUUUCGAGUUGUUUUCGAUGAUAGAGCUUCCAAAUUGACGAUCGGCUCCGUUAAAUAUGAUCUAAAUUAUUUAAACUACCUAGAAAUCAAAUUUCACGCACUUUCGAUAUUGCUCUUUUAUCCAUCAAGUGAACAGAAAAAUAAAUUGCUGAAAAUGAAUACUCUUUAAAAAAUAAUGAUAGGAGCCUUGUAAUCAAGAUCAAGAGUAUAGAUCUUGUUUUAAAUAGUUUAAGAAUUUUCUAAAAAAAUUCAAUUGAUUUGGAUAUCUUUAUGCCGUUAAACGAGAAAAUGCCUCUUAUCGACCGUUAAAAUUAUAAUUUUUGAAACCCUUUGAUCAUUAGGCAAAUGAUGUCGAAAAGAUUUGAAAUUUGAUUUCUAAAUACUUCAAGUGGUAUAGAUCAUGUUCAACGGAGCCGAUCGUCAAUUUGAAAGUUCUAUCAUCGAAAACAAAUUGGUAGUAAGACGGCUCGUUUACUACCGAUAGUAUUCUAGCUCAACUCUUUAAAAUGUAUCAAUUUAGUACUUUCUGGUUUCGCACUUUCUCACUUUAGUACCCUAGGUUUAAAGUGUAUCAAGUUAGUACCAUGUGGUUUCGCACUUUCUCACUUUAGUAUCAUGUGGUUUAAUAUUUCGUUAAAUUAUAUACAAAAAACUUUAGAUACUCUACCUAGCUUUAUCGAAUAUUCAUUUUAGUACCCUUUACUCUUAACUUUGUCACUGAUUUAACGAAAAAAAUAUUCCAAAAUGGAUAAUAAAAAAAAAAAAAAUGAAACCACAUGGUACUAACUUGAUACAAAAAUGAAACCAUGGAGUACUAACUUGAUACACUUCAAAUCAAAGGGUACUAAAGUGAGAAUAUGCGAAACCACAUGGUACUACAGUGAGAAAGUGUGAAAUCACAAGGGAAUCUACAAUAGAAAAUCUACAAUUUCAAAGUAAUUGACUUUCUAUCAAACAAACGUUGAAAAAAUAAUUUUCACGUAAACUUUUGAUUAAUUAAAAGUCAUUUUCAAUCUGAAAAUUAUUUAUGAGUAAACAAAUACGCUCUAAACAACAAAGGGGCUAAUUGAGUUUUUCCCAUAAAUCUUUUGUGCAACACAAAUUUUUUUUUGGGAAAACUUCAAAAAUUCCUCGUGGUUUUGCACUUUUUUAUUUUAGUAUCCUGUGGUUUAAAGCGUAUCAAGUUAGUACCCUGUAGUUUCGCACUUUUUCACUUUAGUAUCCUUUGGUUUAAAGUGUAUCAAGUUAGUACUCUGUGGUUUUAUUUUUAUAUCAAGUUAGUAACAUGUGGUUUUAUUUUUCUCUUAAUGAAAUAUUAAACUACAUUGUACUAAAAUAAGAAAGUGCGAAACCACAUGGUACUAACUUGAUACACUUUAAGCCACAGGGUACUAAAGUGAGAAAGUGCGAAACUAUAUGUUACUAACUUGAUACACUUUAAACUAUAGAAUACUAAAAUAAAAUUAAAAAAAAAUGAAACCACAAGAAAGGUUUUUAAAGUUUUUUUUUUUUUUAAUGGAUGUUACUUCUCUUACACGGAAUAAAUACUUUAUAAAAGAAGAUUUUCUCAAACUAUAACCCCAUGAAUAGAAUAGUUCUGCACGAGGAAUUCUACACUGUCAUACUUGCACCACGUCAUCAAUAACAAGCCAAUCACAUUCCUUCUUUUCAAACAAAAGUACAAUAAAAAUACUUUUUUACAAUCACGAUGGGACAUAUAUUUUUAAAAAAAUUAAUUUGAUUGAUUUGUUACGCCACGUCACUAAUAUACCCGUUGCACUCUAGAAUUUUUCGUUCUGCACAAGGUGUACUUCAACUACUCAUCUCUGAUAAGAUAUCUGAUGGUGAUCUUCUGAGAUGGGAUAGAUCAAACAAGUCCUGCAGGAAUAACUCAAUGUACAAGAUUAUUUUAUUUUCAGUGACCGUAUUUUUUACUUCAACAUUUAAACCUUCUAAAAUUUUAUCAAAUAAUACAGCAGAUUCUCCUUCUCAAUAAAAUUUACUAAUUAUAUAACUGUUUUGAUCAAAUAUCAUGCACAUAAUCUUAAAAAGUUCAAAAUAUAAAGAAAUUUAUUUUUUUCUUUUUUAAUUUUGAUAAUAAGUUUGGAGAUUGAAGAAUGUGGUGAAUAUAACUUCGAUUUUUAUUUUAUAUUUUAUAUGUUCAAAUUAUAAAAAAAAAUUAUGCAUUUUGAAAUUUUAUAAAAUUAUAUGUAAGACAUACAACCAAAAUAGAUAUAUAAUUAGUAAAGAUCCGUUUAUAAAGUUUAGAAAGUUUAAUUAUUAAAAUUAAAAAUUUAGAUAUCUAUUUGCAAAAGAACUCCCUCUACUGNAUGUAGUAUCGUACUUUUUUAUUUUAGUGUCAUAUAGUUUAAAAUGUAUCAAUUUAGUAUCUCGUAUUUUUAUUUUUCUCUUUUUAUUAUUCACUCCACUAUUUUUUUUCGUUAAAUUAGCAACAAAGUUAAAACUAAAAGAGACUAAAGUGAAUAUUCGAUAAAUUUAGGUGAGGUAUCUGAAUUUUUUUGUAUAUAAUUUAACGAAAUAUUAACGGAGGAGCUAACGAAAAAAAAAAGAAGUAAAAUCACAUGGUACUAAAUUGAUACGUUUUAAACUAUAGGAUAAUAAAAUAAAAAAAUAUGAAAUCACAUGAGUGGUAUUUAAAGGUUACCCUAAUAAUAAUAAGGCUAAAUUAUAGAAAACUCCCUUGUAAUAAUCUGUUUUUUCACUUUCUCCCCCUGACAUUUAAAAAUCUAUACUUUGCCUCCUUUUAAAAUAAAAAAUGUUCACAGGGGGAUUACGGUGUGUAAAAUGACUAGUUUGCCCCUCACCAUUUUCGUCUUCUUCCUCAUCUUCCUCAGCCGCACCUUCGAUUGGCCGCGAUUCCCACCUCAAUCGGCCGCGAUUUCUCUCCAUUUUCUUCUCCACCUGCUCCCCUUCUCCUCCUGCACCGUCGCCGCCCAUCGAUUUCGGCAACAGUAGGGAGGAAACCGAGGUGGGUGUUGAUGGAGAGGUAGGCAAGGGCAACGAUGGCGAAGGCGAGGCGGCGGAGGACGACGAAGGGGAUGGGGGCGAGGGUGAGGCAGUGAAGGACGGCGAGGCGGCUAGGCGGCAAGGUGGCGAGGCGGCGGUGAGGUGGCGAGCCGGAGGAAGGCGCAGCAAUAGGGANGAGAGGUAGGCAAGGGCAACGAUGGCGAAGGCGAGGCGGCGGAGGACGACGAAGGGGAUGGGGGCGAGGGUGAGGCAGUGAAGGACGGCGAGGCGGCGAGGCGGCGGUGAGGUGGCGAGCCGGAGGAAGGCGCAGCAAUAGGGAAGAGGGCGGAGGGGUAUUUUCGACAUAAAAAAAUAUUUUAUAACGGAACCCUAACGCUAGGGGGGGAAGUGCAUAUUUUUUAUUUUAUAAGGAGGCAAAGUAUAAAUUUUUAAAUGUCAAGAGAGAAAAGUAAAAAAAUAAAUUAUUACAAGAGAAUUUUCUGUAAUUUAGCCUAAUAAUAAUGAUUUAGAUUCGUUUGUUUCUCCUUGUGCUACAAUAAGCUUCAGUUAUAGAGCAUUUUGCAAUAAGCAAUUAAUGCAAGGUCCUUGCACUGAAAGGGACAAGUAAUGAUCGAACCACCUCGCCGACCAAUGCCAAAGCAUCCCUAUCAAUUGCGUGAACCGCAUUUUUCUUGCGAUUGCUGUACGAAAGCGUUAUACUCUUACAAGUACAAUGCUCUUCGUAUUCAUAAAUUAUUUUUAAUAAUAAAAUUUUUAAAUUAAUAAUUUAUAAUAUUUAAUAAAUUUAAAAUAUUUAAUAAUUUUUACUUAUUAUAUCGUAUUAUUUAACUAAUCAUCCACUCAAUCCUACGAGACCACUAUAAUCCUAACCUACAUCUUUUCAUCCAAGGAUCAAAAACUUAAUAGUAUCAAUGAUUUGGUGCUAUUAAUAGUAUUCUAGCUUAAUUCUAUAUAUAUAUAUAGAGAGAGAGAGAGAGAAAGUUAAGCUGGAAUGUUAUGAUCAAUAGCAAACGGAUUUCGUUGCCACCUAUUUAUUUUCGAUGAUGAAGCUUCCAAAUCGAUGAUCGGUAUCGUUGAAUAUGAUCUAUACCACUUGAAACAUCUAGAAGCUAAAUACUUUUCCUAUAUUAUUCUCUUGUCCAUCAAGUUGACACAAAAAUCAAUGACUGAAAAUAGAUAUUCUUUAAAAAAUAAUGAUAGUAAUCUUGUAAUCAAGAUAAAGAGUAUAGAUCUUGUUUAAAAUGGUUUAAAUAAUUUUUUGACCAAAAUUUAAUUAGUUGGGAUAUUUUUAUAUCGUUAAAUGAGAAAUGUCUCAUAUUGACCAUUAAAAUUACAAAUUUUGAAACCCUUUGAUCGUUAGGCCAAUGAUGUUAAAAAAGAUUUGAAAUAUAGUUCCUAGAUACUUCAGUUGUAUAGAUUAUUUUCAACGACGCUGAUCGUCGAUUUGGAAACUCCAUCAUCGAAAUAAAUGGACGGUAACGGAGCCCGUUUACUACUAAUUGCAUUCCAACUCAACUCUCUCUCUCUCUCUCUCUCUCUCUCUAUAUAUAUAUAUAAGAAAAAAUUAAGCUAUAAUACUAUUAAUAGCACUAAAUUAUUGGUUCUAUUAGAUUUUCGGUUCUUGGACAAGGAAUGUAUGGUUAGAAUGAAAUGGUCCCCUAGAGUUUAGUCGGCGGUUGGUAGAACAAUAUGAUCUAACAGAUCGAAAUAGCCAAAUGGAUAGAACUAAUGACAGAAAAUUUGAUAAUAUCGAGUACUUAGUACUACUGAUCAUAUAUUGUAGCCGAACUAUACAUAUAUAAUCCUCCUAUUGGGACAGUUUAAUUAAUAGUUAAAAAAUUCUACAUACACACUCUAGAAGGAAAAUGUAGAUGUUACACUUUCAAUUUUAGAAUUUACAAAAAUCCAAAUAAAUCAUUGUAAAAAUAAAAAAAAAGUUGCUGUCACAAGUAUAAAAUAAUAAUUUUUAGAUGAAAAAAAAAAUGUAAAAUUUAUAUGUAGCAUUGAUAUUAAUUCUGUGAGGCGGGGUGGCACGUUUUUUUCGUUCUCAAAAUGUGAUGUAGUGAAACAGCGAAACGAUUGGCUUGGCAAUCAAAAUAACACAAAUUCAAUGGGGGGCAGCUUUCACUAGUCAAAAUUUGACAGAACGUGCCGAAUAGGUGUUGCGUGCUGGUAGGAGCACAGAGGUUUUCAUGCUCCUAAAUCGUUUUCGAUUUUGAAGCUUUCGAAUCGACGAUCGAUUUUGUUAGACUUGAUCUAACGUAUUGAACGUAUCUAGAAAAUAAAUUUUACGAUUUUUCGAUAUCAUUUAUCUAGCAAUUAAAAAAAUUCAAAAUUAAUAAUUUUUAAUGGUUGAUGUAUAUUAUUUGCAAGUUUAAUGGUAUAAAAGUAUUCAAAUCAGAUAAAAUUUUGACAGAAAAUUCUUUAUACUAUUUGCUGCAUGAUCAAUAUCUCUGAUAAAAAAUUUUAGUAUUAUAUCACUACGUUUUAUGAGAUUUUUAUUUUCAGCCGUUUAUUUUAAACUCUUUCGAUUGCUAGGUAAAUGAUAUCGAAAAACUAUAAAAUUUAUUUUCUAAAUACUUCAAGUACUCAAUAUUAAAUCUAACGGAAUCGAUCGUCGAUUCGAAAGUUUCAUCAUAAAAAAUAAUUUAAAAGUACGAAGGCCUCCAUGCUCCAAAUAGCAUACUAGACCUACUCAAACAUACGUUCGAUAAUCUUAUAAUGGGACCAGCUCACUCUAAAAUUUUAUUAUGCUAUAUAAUGAUCAAUCUCAUUCAGUCACAUCAGAUAGUCAAAAGUUUAAUAAGAAUGGUAUGAUAACUCUUAGUUGAAAUGAUGUCAAAUUUUAGGUAUCACAUUUUAUAAAACGAGACAUUUUAGGUAUCACAUUUUAUAAAACGAGACAUAAAACACGACAAGUCAGAUACAACAACUUAAAAUGUUCUACCAAUAAUUUGAUCUCUCAAAACUCGAAGAAAAAAUCCUAAAAAUGGUUCUACCAAUGUUAGAACCCCAAAAACCCCAAAAUUUUCUAUUGGGUAAACUUUAAAAUCUAAAUUCUAAAAUUAUCAGCUCAUCUCUCUACUCCAAACAUGAAAAAAAAAACCAGAGGAGAGGGUCGCCUUCAACCUCUUAGAGCUUACUCUUAAAGCUCCUCAACAUUUCCUAGCUUCGAACGAGAUCAAUCCCAUGCUUUGAGCUCUCCAAUAAUGGCGGAUCACCGCUCUUCUCAAUCCAGAGAGAAAACGAGAUCAAUUGACACUAAUAAUAUACUUUUAUUAUCUUAUUUUUAAAAUAUGUUUUGAAUAUUUUAAUCCUAUUUUUUCUAAUCUUAAGAUUGAUUUUAUAAAAUAUAUUAUUUUUAUUUUGUAGAUAAAUCUUUAAAUCAAAGCCUAUUCAAAUUCAAUAAUGUAAGAUAAACUAUUUUUAGUUGGCUACUCAAACUUUUCAAAAGUUUUAUUUUACUAUCCAACUUUUUCAUUUGUUUGAUUUAAAUUUACUUAACGAUAUUUUGACUUUAAAAUUUAGAUAUAUCGUUUAUCUUUUUAGGUUUAGUAUGCUUCAUGCAAUUCUUGCAACUUUAAAAUUCAUUAAAAUAAAUAACUUAAUUUUUAAAGUUACAGUAUUGUUGACUAACUCAAAUCAAAUAAAUUAAAAAAUUUGAUAGUAAGAUCAAAAUUUUCAAAAGUUGUAUUGCUUUUCAAAAUAGUCCAUAGUUUAAAUAAAUUCUAUAAUUUUUAUCAUAAUUUAAAUUACACUUUCUUUUCUCAAACUAUAAAGAGCAUGGUACUUUAGUUCUUAAAUUUUAAUUUAUUGCAAUUUAUUGCUGGAAUUAUAACACGCAUGAUACUUUAAUCCUUAAACGUUAACUAGUAAUAAUUUUUGGCUCGAACUAUAAGACAUAUGACAUUUUCCUUGAAUUUUCUUAACUGGAACGGUAUCCUAUUUAAUGAUACAACGAUAAUUAAAAUACUUCAUUACUUUCAUAUUAACAAUUCAUCAAUAUUUAUUCAACAAAAGUUAUAUUAGAACUUAAUUACAACAACUUAAAAAGCUUAAGGACUAAAAUAUCGCAUGCUUAUAAUUCGAGCCAGAAAUUACGACAAAUUAAAAUUCGAUGACAAUUUGAUAAGUUUGAGGACAGAAGUAUCGCAUGAUUAUAAUUCAAGCCAAAAAUUAUAACUAAUUAAGGUUCGAGGAAAUAAGUUGGCACCCUAUAGUUCGAACUAAAAAUUACAAUGAAUUAAAAUUCAUGGAUUAAAAUACCAUGCACCUUAUAAUUUGAUGACCAAAAGUGUAAUUUAUUGUAAAAAAAAAAAAAAAAAAAAAAAAAAAAAAAAAAAAAAAAAAAAAAAAAAAAAAAAAAAAAAAAAAAAAACUACCAAACUUAAUAAAACCAAUUCUUUUCUACAAAAAUAAUAAUCUUAAACAAAAUCAACUAGCCAGAUCCAAUAUAAACUUAAUAACACCAAUUAAAUGAAAGGCAUGUCAUGCGUCCAUACAUUAUCUUUAACUAGUGUAGGCCCGCGCUUCGCGGCGGGAAAUUUAUGCAAUUUAUUUAAAAUUAAAAAUUUUUAACGCCCUUUUGUUUAAAUCCUAAAAUUUGAAAUUAACAUUUUGAACAUUUAAAUUUAAAAAAAUAUAUUUUAUCUUAAUUCAAUUUGUUAAUUUUGAAUAUAUGAUUUUAGUUAGAGUUUUGUUGAUUCCUAAUCUUUCUAAUUAUAAACUUUUGUAUGCAUCGAAUAACUCGCUGUAAUUUUGAAUUUUUAGGAAUUUAGCUAGAUAAUUUGACAUUCCAUGAUAUAUUUAGUAAAUUAAUAUAUAUAAUAAUGUUUAAAAUUUUAAACUUUAUAAUUUGAAUAUAAAAUUUAAAAUCUACAACCCGAAAGUAAAAUGUAAAAUUUAAAACAGAAAAAUUUUAAAAUUUAGUUUUAGUAAUUAAGGAAAAAUAUACAAUUAUGAUACCUUGUAAUAUGAAACCAGCAAAUCAACCUACAUGAAAAAGUUCUAAUUUAUAUCAUAAAACUGGAAUAGAACUAUCAUAAGAAUUGCUUUAGAUAUUUAUACAUAAUUUAGAUCGGUUACAGACAUUUACUUACAGAUUCACCACUUGCAUUCAUAAAAGUUUGAGGUUUGGCAAGUAUGACGGGAGAAUCACCAAUAAGGCCUGCAUAAAAAUCGCAAAAAUUUUAAAUAUAUUUUUCCAAAAAAAAAUAAAAUGUAAAAUUGAGUGGACAAUUCAAAUAUAAAACUAAAUUUUGAUUUGAUUCAAAUUUAAACUUAUAAGCAAUUCAAAAUUUUAAUUUAUAUAUCAAAUUCAGAAUGCUUGAUUGAAUUUAUAUUUUAAUUUCAUUUCUAAUUCAAAAUCUAUAAUUACAAAUUAAAUAUCUAAAUUUAAAUACCUUAAAUUAAAGUCAAAAUUAAAUUAAAAUUAAAAAAAACUCUAAAAUCCUCUUCUCUAUAUGUAAAGAGAGAGAAGGGGAAAAAAAAUAUAUCUCCGCCAAACUCCUUCCCCCACGCUCCUGCGCGCGCGCCGAGUCCGCACCUGCCCCGCGCCCGCGCCUGCUCCCACUCCUGCUCGCUCGCGCCUGCUCCCGCUCGGGUGUGACCGCGCCUACAUAACGUAAAUAAUCAAGAUUGUAAUUCAAAAAAAGCAAAUAGAUUAAUGGUAAUCUACUGUUCGCCAAACUAUGUUAUGUCAUUGCUGCGUUUUUUUCCCCUGCACACUUUCUCUCCUUGCGGUUUCCUGCUGUUCCUGCUACUACACUAUGCUUAUGGACAGUUUUGCCUAUCCUCAGCUGCCUCCUCCUCUUUUCCCAUACGCGGUUAUAAUAUGAUUCAUACUAUUGUUUGCUAUGAUUCUUCCUUAAUUAGUUUAUGAAAUACAACCUUCCUUUGACAAAGUUGGAAAAAAUACAUAAAAUCCUACUAAAAGGGGGAAAAAAGUUUUAGCUAUGCUAUAAAAAGAAUGAAGAUGCUUUUACUAUUUGAGCGAGCAUUUGACCAAGUUUUUUUUUAUCUUAAAUUUUCAAGCAUGUAUAUCGUUACUUCUAAUUUACUGUGUUUACUUCUUGGCUUUUAUCAUUAAAUUUCCGAACAUAUAUAUCAUUACUUAUAAUUUUGAAACAUGUGUACUGUUUAUGUGUGUGUGUGCGCGCGCGCGCAUACAUAUAUAUAAAUAUAUGAUCAUGAAAGUAAUUAAUUAGAUUCUAAGGUUCCCAUGUAUGAAAACGAAAACAGAUUCAUUCAUGUGAACAACAUUUUCUCCUUUUACAAAAGAAUCCACAGGUGAGCCCGCCAAGAACAUUAAUAUUAAAGCCCCCAAACAUGCCCAAACUCUAAUUUUUUAGGGUGAGAAUAGCUAUUCCUAAUUCUCACCAUGCUAUAUCAACCAUCUUCCUCUCUCUCCCGCCUUUUAUAAUAAAUUUUCAAUUUUCAAUUUAAAUUUUACAAUUUGAAUAUUUAAAACUUAAAUAUUUAUAAUUUAUUAUUUCAAAACUAAAAUUAUAAUUUUAAAUUUUAAUUUGAUAUUUUUAAAUUUAAAUUUGAUGUUAAAUUCUAAAUUUCAACUUUUAAAUUCCAAAAUUAAAUUUAAAAUUUAAACUUAUCAUGAAAAAUCCAAAAUUGGGUAUAUAUAUCUAUAGUGCUACCAAGUUUUUGGCCAUUGGAUUAAGAGAUGUGCGGUUAGGAUAUUAUGGCCCCCCUAGGGUUGAGUGGGUGAUUGGUUAAAUAGUAUGAUCUAACAGGUGAAAAUGAUCAAAAAGGUAGAUCUAACAGCGGAAAACUUGGUAGCACCAAAGUACUUCGUGCUAUUAAUAACAUAGUAGCCGGACUCUAUAUAUAUAUAUAUAUAUAUAUAUAUAUAUAUAUAUAUAUAUAUAUAUUUCAUUUACAUUUUUUCAUUUACAUUUUUUACUCCUAACUUAAGAAUAAAUAAAAAAAAUGGAAAGCUUCAAAAACCCCCCUUGUGGUUUCGCACUUUUUCAUUUUAAUGUCUUGUGGUUUAAAGUGUAUCAAGUUAGUAUCCUGUGGUUUCACACUUUCUCACUUCAGUACCCUGUGGUUUAAAGUGCAUCAAGUUAGUACUCUAUGGUUUUAUUUUUGUAUCAAAUUAGUACCCUGUGGUUUUAUUUUUGUAGCAAGUUAGUACUCUGUGGUUUUAUUUUUCUCUUAAUAAAAUAUUAAACCACAGAGUACUAAAGUGAGAAAGUGCGAAACCACAGGGUACUAACUUGAUACACUUUAAACCAUAGGAUACUAAAAUGAGAAAGUGCAAAACAACAGGGUACUAACUUGAUACACUUUAAACCACAGGGUACUGAAAUGAGAAAGAGUGGAACCACAAUGGGGGUAUUUGAAGUUUUUCCUAAAAAAAUUGUGCAGUAGAAAAGUAUAUUUGAAAGAGCAAAAUAAUAAUUUUAUAGAGAUAACGGUCGUUUCUAAUAGUUCACUAACAGAAUUAAACUCUAAAAAUAUAUUUAAAAUAAUUUAAAAUAUUAAAAACUAUUUCUAUUUUUAAUUUUUUAAGAAAAAUAAAUAAAAAAGUCAAAAAAUUUCAUGGAUAAUAUAUAUAUAUAUAUAUAUAUAUAUGGCUAAAUUAUAAAAAACCUCCUCUAAUAACCCGCUUUUUCACUUUCUCCCCCCUGACAUUUAAAAAGUUACACUUUGCUCCUUGUAAAAUAAAAAUAUUCACAGGAGGGUUACGGUGUGUAAAAUGAUCAUUUUACCCCUCGCCAUUUUCGUCUUCUUCUUCAUCUUCCUCAGCCGCCCUUUCGAUCGGCCGCGAUUCCCACCCCAAUCGGCCGCGAUUUUUUUCCAUUUUCUUCUCCAUCUGCUCCCAUUCUCCUCCUGCACCCUCGCGGCCCCUCGAUUUCGACGAUAGUAGGAAGGAAAUCGAGGUGGGUGUUGAUGGAGAGGUAGGCAAGGGCAACGAGGGCGAAGGCGAGGCGGCGGAGGAGGGUGAAGGGGAUAUGGGCGAGGGCGAGACAGUGGAGGACGGCUAGGCGGCGAUGCGGCGACGAGGCGGCGAGUCGGAGGGUGGCGAAGCAACAAAGAAGAGGGCAGAAGGGUAUUUUCGGUAUAAAAAAAUAUUUUACAACAGAACCCUAACGGUAGGGGGUGAAGUGCACAUUUUUUAUUUUACAAAGGGGCAAAGUAUAGGUUUUUAAAUGUCAGGAGGGAAAAGUAAAAAAAGGGGUUAUUACAGGAGGAUUUUCUGUAAUUUAGCCUAUAUAUAUAUAUAUAUAUAUAUAUAUAUAUAUAUAUAUAUAUAUAACUAGGCUACUAUACUAUUAAUAGCACAAAGUCAUUAGUGCUACCAAGUUUUUGGCCAAUGGAUUCAGAGAUGUGUGGUUAGGAUGAUGUGGGCCCUCUAAGACUAGGGUUGAGUGGGUGAUUGGUUAAAUAGUAUGAUCUAACAGGUGAAAAUGAUCAAAAAGGUAGAUCUAACAGCGGAAAACUUGGUAGCACCAAAGUACUUCGUGCUAUUAAUAACAUAGUAGCCGGACUCUAUAUAUAUAUAUAUAUAUUAAUUUAAGAGCUCAAGCGGUUAGUGUGUAACUAAAUAAGUCAAUUAUAAUAUCAAUUAUAAUAUUAAUUAGCAAUGUUAUAUACAUUUAUCAGAAACUAAUUAAUAAAAAAUUAGAAAAAAUUUUGAUUUGUUAAGAAUAUAAUUAUGAAAACCAAGGAAAUAACCUUGAUGAAUGGAGUUGGAAAUAAUUUACAAAGUGAUUUGCGCAGUGCAAAUUUAAAAUCGAACAAAGUAUGAAGUAGCCUUAUAUAGUAGUUACCACCUUGGGGGAGGGAAAAAAACUCACAGAAGAAGCUAAAUAAAUAGGCUCAGAUGAAUGGCAUAUUUAAUCAGGAGGGGGGGGAGAAAAAACUCACAGAAGAAGCUAAAUAAAUAUGAACCAAUUGAAUUUUUUUGUUUGAGGCUAAGAUGAAAGACAUAUUUGAGUGUGCACUCCUAUCGACCAAGAGGACAUUCGAAGUGAGAUUUCUUUCAUCUAUCAGCAUCGCCUAGUAAAUACAUUAGAGAAAUUAGUAUUAACCACAAAUAUAUUCUGCUAUUCUUCUUAAUUCUAACAUAAUGUCUCGGAAAAAAAAAAAAAUUUUAAGUAGUCUUCACGAAAAAACAAAAAGGAAGGCUCAAAAAAUGCUCAUAAGCAUAGGAAAGUAAUAGGAGGAAUACAUUACCGUAGGAGGAACAUGUGUGCAAAGACCAAGUAUAAGAACAUUAGAAAGUGGUUGCCUAUGAAUAGACCGUCCAAACUUCCGCUUGUUCGAAGCCAUCAUUUUCCACGUUUUCCUCUACUUAUCAUCAUCGCCUCAAAAAAGAGAUAGGAAAUAGCAAGAAACAAAAAGGAAUAAAGGGAACAAAGUAGUAUUAGUAAAACAGCAAUGUAUCGAAGCAGCAUUAGUAAAACAACAAUGUAUCGAAGCAGUCGAGUCCAUGCAAAGCUACCACAUUCAAUCCCAAACAAAGACAGGAAUAGCAUAUUUGAGUACAAUCAAUUAUCUCUAAAACUAACUCUAUCCAAAGCUACUACAUUUAAUCCCAAACAAAGGUACGAAUACCAGAUUUGGAUACAAAGAAGCAUCUGUAAAACUGCUUUCGCACAAGUAAUCCACAACCGAUCAGGUAAAGAAUGCAAAUAAGAGAAUUGUUGGCAAAUUUUGAAUCAGUAGGUUAGAAUCACAUGUGUACACAAAAAUUUGAACAAUAUCAGAACACUAAAUCACAGUUGAUUGCCCAAGGGUUAUUUUGCCCGAAAGGUAGAAAUCGUAAUUUUCAGUACAACUAAAUAUCAGCACAUUGUUGUACCAACUACCAUCGGCAAAUCCAAGCCACCUCAUGCAUUGAGUAUAUAGAAGUUUCUUAAUUUAAAACAAAGGCAUCAACUUAAAUUUCAAAUAAAUGAAGUAGCAAUCGGUUGCCUAUGAUACAGGCCAUCCAAAGUGCUCUAACCAUCAGCCAAGAAGGCCCGGGCCCCUCUCCAUUAUCGCAAUUAUUUCACAUUCAAGGGAAGGUCAGCGUAGUAUGGGACAACAACAGGCGAAAGCUCAAUUGUCCCAGCCAUCUAACAUUCAAGGAAAGGUAAUCAUAGUAUGGGACAAAAAGAGGCGAAAGAAAAGUACCCCCCGCAAAGGACAAAACAUUAUUAUAAACUACACAGGACACAGCUAUGAAGAACAACAAAGAGCCGACAGCCAGCAGGAAGAUAUUGGGAACCUGCAGAAACCAAAAAAGAGACUUGCGGAUUCCACAGCAUAUAACCAUAAUUAUAUUCUUAACAAAUCAAAAAUUUUUCUAAUUUUUUAUUAAUUAGUUUCUAAUAAAUGUAUAAUAUUGCUAAUUAAUAUAUAAAAUGCAAAAAAGUGUAGAAAGUGUAAAUGUAAACUACAACAGCAUCGAAAGAGGACAAUUAGUUUCACCAUGGCAACAAACAAAGAAGCAACAUAUCUUUUCCUCUCAAUAUGUAAGGUAAAGGAAAAAAGUAUAAAAUGUGUAGUGUAGAGAGACUUUCUUUAACUCAGUCGAACUCAGAGUAAACAAAUAAAAUGAAAUAUCAAGGUACCAUCUUGCAAGAGGCAUAAACAAAACCUUUUUUAAAAAAGAACAACUGCGAGCCGAUUAAUAAAAACUUUACUAAUCUAUAUACUACAAUGAUUUCCACACAAUGCAAGAGCAAAAAGCAGAAAAUAUAAAUAGAAUAUAUAAAAAAUAGUCUCAUAAUAGAGCUCUUUGUAAUAUCAAGACCUUACAUUUGAGUAAGCAAAAAUCGGUAAAAACUACAUAAAACUACCUAUCAAUCAUCGAAAUAGGAAAAAAAGUAUAGAGAGUGUAAAUGUAAACCACAAUAGAGCCAAAACAGGGCAAUUAAUUCCAGCAUGGUAACAGACAAAGAAGCAACAUAAUUUUUUUUUCUCAAUCUGUAAGGUAAAGGAAAAUAUGUAAAAUGUCUAGCGUAAAGAGACUUCCUGCAUCUCACUGGUAAUUAGAGUAAGCAAAUGAAAUGAAAUAUAAAGGUACCAUCUUGCAAGAGAUGAAAACAAAACAUUUUUAAAAAAACACGACUGUGAACCGAUUAAUAAGAAUUCUACUAAUCUAUAUAGUACAAUUAUUUCCAAACUAUGCAGACAUAAAAGUAAAACCCAAGGAACGUCAUCACAUGCAAAACCAUCAUGCAAGCGGAGUGCUACAUCAUAAAUCACAACAUUAAGGGCCACAAAUGAUAAGUAGUAAAGUUUAGAAUUUGGAAAUCUGAAUUUGGAAAUCUGAAUUUGGAAUUCUAAAUUGCGCCAAACUAUUUGAUGCAUAUAAAAGUUUAGAAUUCCCAAAUCUGAUCUGAAUUCCAUAACCUGCAAUAAAGCUCCAGGGUUUUCGAGGGGUAGGCCAUCAUAGUGCGAAACCUAAGAGGCAGAGGCGAAGUCUUGGGAAAAAAGAAAGUUCAUAUAAAAUACACCCAAAAUCCAAUAUAAAAAAAGGUAAAUGCAAAAUGAAGAACAGAUUGCAAACUAAGAUCGAUAUAAUUUGCUCAGACUCCUCAGGCCAUAGGAUAUUUAUCCGCUUGGCACAAAAGAAUGCCGGAUUAGAACUGCUCGGUUAGAACCCGCAUGCCACUCAAAAUAUCCUCAAGAGUAAAUAAGUGCAACCGGUUACAUCCAAAGUGCCCUAUCACCAGCCAAGAAAACCCGAGGCGCCCUCUUUUUUGGCAACAGUUCAACUCUUAAUUAUCCCUUAAUUGUCGCAACCAUCCGACAUUGAAAGGGCAAGUCAUCAUAGCAUGGAACAAAAGAGGCAAAGCCAAAGCCGCAGAUGAUAAAAGGCACCAAUAGCAACAUGAAAACUCAAGGUAUAAGUAAGAUAACACUUUUGGGGAAAAACGAAAAAAUGCGCAAAACUUAUGACGAAACCCCGACUUUAGAAAUUAGAGCAAAAAGCAUAGAACACCACCUAAUACACGAAUGAGCCUAUGGAAGACGGGAAAAAACCAUUAAUAUAUACAUAUAGAAGCGAGGUAACAAAAACCGAGUAGUGAAAUAAGUAUAAUAUAUUUUGCUCAGACUCCCCCGAUCAUCAAACAUUAUUAGAUUGGCGCCAAAACCUGUCCACUUAGCACCGGAGAUUGAGUCACAACCGACAUGUAUAUCGAAAGCAUUCUUAGUCCAAAUAAGAGGAACCGGUUGCCUAGGGAAAAGGCCAUCCAAAGUCCCCCUACUACCAGCAGAGAAGUGGAUAAAAAAUGACACUAUCAUCAUCCAAGAAGGCCUGGCGCGUCCUCUAUUAUAGCAAGUAAUUAACAUUCAAGGGGAAGGUCAUCAUAGCAUAGGACAAAAGAAGUAAAUAGACACUUUGAAAAAUAUAAGCUCUGGACUAAAAGCAAGGAAAUUGAAGGAACUGAAUAGCAGCAGCACAUUAUCCACAGAAAAACUAAAGUUAAUAUGCUGAAUUAAACAUAUUGCUAAGUUAAAUUGAGCUGAAUGCAGGAUGGCCGAUGGAAUUCCGAACUUUGUUGAUGUAUUCUGUAUCACAUGAAGGCAAAAUUGGAAUUGAUAUUACCUAAGACAUCCUCUCUUUGAAAGCGGAACUUUAUCAGAAGGCUCCAUAUGAUAUGUAGGUCUAGCUUUAUUAAACAUUCAAAUAUUAAAAUAUAGCGAGCAUAAACUAUUCAAGGAAUAAGGGAGUUACAAAGUUAUUAUACCUUGAAUUUUGUGCCGGUGAUGUUUCUCCAAAUAAUCCGCUCGAGAAUGAGUGAACUUGAUCCUCAUACUUAAUAAGUAAAUUAUUUGCAACUGGACCUUUAUAUUUUACAUUAGAGUUUACGGCAAAUUUUUUUGUAACUUUGAAAGAGGGGCCACUCGUAGUGAUUUUUUGGGAGUCUGGAGUUAUUUGGAAAAUAUGUUUCCGAUCCCCAAAGAGGCUUAGGUAGAUAAGUGCAUAGUAAAAGACACGAAUUUUAUUAGGAAAAAUUUAGAAUUUGUAGCAGCAAAUUAAUCAUGGUAACCUCAAAAAUUAAAUGCACCAGAAACCAGGGUUGAGAACAGGCAAUAAACCAAACCUAAAAAAACGAUGGAAAAAAAAAAGGGAAAAAGAGAGGAAGCGUUUAAAAAAAGGAAAAACGAGAGGGAAAAAUAAAGCUCUUUCGUAGGACCCCCAAAGAGGCUCAGGUAGAUAAGGGCAUAGCAAAACACGUAAUUCCUUUGGAAAAAUUCAGAAUUUACAGCAGCAAACAAAUCAUGCUCAUUUAAAAAUUUAGUGGAUCAGGAACCAGCAUGAAAAAUCGACAGUGAACCAAAUCUGGAAAAACAAUGUAAAAAAGAGGAAAAAGAAAGGGAAAAACUGAGGGAAAUUGUGCAAUAUUAUUUUACAAAGCUCCCAAAGAAGCUUAGGUAGAUGACUGCUUAGGUAAAAGCAUGCAGUUUUUUCCAGUAGAGAAUAAGAAAAUCUGCUACACUUUGUAAGUAGGAAGCAAAAGAGAAACUCCAAGGAAAAGAGUUAAAUAAAAGUAAAAGAUUUAAUCAGAAACAAUAAUACCUUUUUCACUUCAAACCAACCCGAUCCCUGAUCAUCCCUUGCUUCAUCUGCAUUCUCCAUCAUCAAAUCUUUCUCAAUCUCCCACACAUUGCUGCAACUGCUACAACAUUAAAUAAAACACAUAUAAACUCCCCAUCUUUACCAGCAACGCGUACUGCACAAAACCCCUAGAGCAAAACCCAACAAGCUUUCCCUAAAUUAAGAAGCAAAGUAUGCAACUCCCACAAGAAAAAAUGCCAUUAAACCCAAAAUUUACAGAACAAAAACGAAACAGCAAAGGAAAACCUCCUUUCUCUCUCCUCGUGCGAUUUCAUUCUUCUCCAACACGACCUCUCCGUAUAUAAGCAAACGCUUCUACGUGUGAAGCUCCCUUCGAGGCCCCAAACGAAUGCGGAGAAGAGAUCGAAGGAAGUGCUCGAUCCCCGAUCGAUCCAUUUACGUAGUAAUUUCGAGGUUUUUGAUAAGCCAGCUUCUGAAUUUCUCCAAAUCUAGGAGGAUUUUCCUACAUGCCGCCAGCCGCCGGGCACGCCUCGAUGAUCGCUGACGCCACCGAUUCAGCUAUGAAAGAUAAAGCAUUAAUCCUCCAGAUAAUAAGCUCAGACCACAGCUACUUCACCACUGCAGAGGCAAUUCACAAACACUUGGAGUGCAAGAGAUAGAGACUGAGGAAAGGAUUACACUAAAAACAAUCAGUCUCAGUUGUUUGUUAACUUAUGUUUCUCCAGAGAGGGGUCGGGGAAGGGGGGAAGGGAGAGCUGCCCGCCCGUGCCGCGCUCGCACGUGCUGCCCUCUGCGUCCGACCCGCGCCCGUGCCCUGCGUCCGACCCGCGCCCGGGGCCCUGCGACCGACCCGCGCCGGGCACCCGCUCGCGCCCCGGCUCCCUCCCGCGCGCCGCCCGUGCCCGCGUCCGAGCCCGCUCGCCCGCACCCGCUCGCACCUGCGCCCGCGCCCGCGAACAGGACACGAGCACUAGGGAGAGGGCGCGGGGGCCUGCGAGCCCUGUGGGGCGACAGGAGAAGGAGGCGGGGAGAGGGGCGCGGGAGUAAGAGAGAGAAGAAAAAGAGAGAGGGAGAGAGAGAGGCAGGGGAGGGGACAGGGAGAGGGGGAGGUCAGGGUAGGGUCCGACAAACACCCGACAGGGGGCGGAUCGAAGAGAGAAGGGAUCGGAGGGAGGACCACAGUAGAGGAGGAGGGAGCCGGGGAGGGAGGAGGAGAGGGAGGGAGAGAGCCGGGGGGGCCCUGCCAUGUGCGCGGGUCCCCUCUCGCGGGGGCACGCGAGCAGAGAGAGAGAGAGAGCCCCCGCAGAACUGAGGAGGAGGAGGGGUGGCUGGGAAGACGACGCGUGGCGGGUUGAGGGUUCGACUUUUAUUAGUUGUAUAGAUAAACACCUUGGUACUUGUCGCUAACGAAAAUUAUUGAAGUGUCUUUUAGAAUUAUAGAAGGAAUAGGUGUAUAGAUAAAGAGAUGGAGAAGUUCUUGUCCUCAUUAUAGUUUUAUAGAAGAUUACCUUGAUGGUGUAGUAUGUUACUGAAACAAUUCUAAACUAUCUUGCUAAUGAGAGAUAAGUUUUAUCCUUAUGUGUUUUUUCUUGUUAAUAUAAAACCCUCAUCUGAUGGGAUGGCGAAAGGAUACUGCAAAAUGCACACAUUGACCUCAAUGAAGCAAAGUGUGUGAUAAUCAAGUAUUUAAUAUUUGAUUGACUAUAAGGAUGUUGAGAUUUGCAUUUAGUGCAAAUACUUGCAAAAAGCCUCCAAUUGAAUCAAAGCAUUUGUGUUGCUUUCGCUCUUGAUUGGAAAAAGCUAGAUGCACAUAAAAAUUUUGGGAAUCACCGGAUUAGUGUCACUUUGCUAGGAGAAAACCAAGAGAUCAUAAGAAAUUUGUUUAACAUAGGAAAUUGACCUAAAAUUAGUAGUUUUCCAACAUCCUUUGGUUGCUCAGAGCUCUAGUAAGGUAAUAAAUUAUUUGAUCGUUUCAUGACCAUAAUCAACAGAUGGGGUGAAUAGGUCAUUGUGUUCGUAUCUCUAUAAUGUUUCAGAUACUAGAGAUAUACAAAUUUCAUGAUGGAUUAUGAAGGUCUAUACC
rnacentral:lncRNA from 1 species